ensembl:lncRNA
UUUUUUUUUUUUUUUCCUUUAUUUUUUUGCUUUUUCUCCUGCAGCAUAUGGAGGUUCCCAGGCUAGGGGUCUAAUUGAAGCUGUAGCCACCGGCCUACACCAGAGCGACAGCAACAUGGGAUCCCAGCUGCAUCUGCGACCUACACCACAGCUCACAGGCAACACCGGAUCUUUAACCCACUGAGCAAGGUCAGGGAUUGAACCCACAUCAUCAUGGUUCCUAGUUGGAUUCGUUAACAAGUGAGCCACGACAGGAACUCAGAUUUAAGAUUUUAAUUCUAUCUAAAAGGAGAGCUCUCGCAUUUUUCUUCCCACUUAACCCCCCUCCUCCCGUGAUAGUAUAGUCCGCAGUGACCAGCUGAGUGGUGAAUUGUACAGAAACUAAAUUAAUUCCAUGCACCUUUUUAAUGUAGACUUUUAAGUCACAAAAGCACACUAUCAUAUGAGAGGAUUAUACCACCAGACUUCAAAUACCACAUGAAUAACUCUAUCAUGGUGAUUGUAUUAAAGCUUAUAAGUGGUUUGAAUAGCUUCAUGAUCUUGAAGGUCAUAUUUUAGAAGCAUAAAUUAGUUAAAAAACUAAAGCAUAAAUUAGUUAAAAAACUAAAGCAUAAAUUAGUUAAAAAACUAAAAUUCCAAGGUGCUUCCAGGAGUGAUCUUCCAAAUUAUUUCAAAUUCACAAUUCCUCUGGGUAGUAUUCACCAUGGAAGUUGUUCUCAUCAUGACAAAUGCUAAUGUUGUCCAUGAAGGUCUUUCCUUCACCCAGUACAGAGCAAAGACGACAGAAGGAGAUAGUACUCAAAUGUAUGUAGUUCUCACAUUGUAAAUUUCCAAACUUUAUUAUGAAAAAUUUCAAGCCUAUAGAAAAAUUCAAAGCCUAGCAAAUUCAUUUUUAAAUGUUUUAUAAUUGUACUUUUGAUAUCUUUUAAUCCAAUAAUUAUUUAAGAGAUUUCAUAUAUCCUAGUGUUUGAGUGUUUAUUUAAUCUUGUUAUUUAUUUUUAAAUUUCACUACUAUAAGUAAAAAAAAUGAGAUAUGCUUAAUUUUUACUUUUUAAAACUAUCAGUGUUUUCUUUGUCAUCUUAUUUAUGAUUGGCUUGUAUGAAGUUCCAGGAAUUCUUUUUUUAAAUUUUAUUAGAGUAUAGUUUAUUUCCAAUAUUGUAUUAGUUUCAGGUGUACAGCAAAAUGCUUCAGUUAUACAUAUACAUAUAUCCAUUCUUUUUUCCCAUAUAGGUUAUUAAAGAACAUUGAAUAGACCUCCCUGUGCUAUACAGUAGGUCCUUGUUAGUAAUAUAUUUUAUGUAUAGUAGUGUGUAUGUGCUAAUCCCAUCCUCCAAAUUCCCCCCCCCCCGUUUCCCCUUUGGUAACCAUAAGUUUGAUUUAGAAAUCUGUGAGUCUGUUUCUGCUUUAUAAAUGUGUUCUUUGGUAUAAUUUUAAUUAGAUUCCACACAUAAGUGAUAUCAUAUGAUAUUUGUCCUUCUCUGUCUGACUUAAUUCACUUAGUAUGAUAAUCUCUAGGUCCAUCCAUGUUGUGGCAAAUGGCAAUAUUUCAUUCUUUUUUAUGUCUGAGUAAUAUUCCUUUGUAUAUAUGUACCACAUCUUCUGUAUCCAUUCCUCUCUUGAUGGACAUUUAGGUUGCAUCUGUUUGGGCUAUUGUGAACAGUGCUGUAGAGAAUAUUGGGAUGCAUGUAUCUUUUCAAAUUAUGGUUUUCUUUGGAUAGAUGCCCAGGAGUGGGAUUGCUGGGUCAUAUGGUAGUUCUAUAUUUAGUUUUUUAAGGUACCUUCACCCUGUUUUCCACAGUGGUUGCACCAAUUUACGUUCCCACCAACAGUGUAGGAGGGUUCCCUUUUCUCCAUACCCUCUCUAGUAUUUAUUGUUUGUAGACAUUUCAGUGAAGGCUGUUCUGACUUGUGUGAGGUGUUACUUCAUUGUAGUUUUGAUUUACAUUUCUCUAAUAAUUAGCAGUGUUGAGCAUCUUUUCUUGUGCUUUUUUUGCCAUCUGUUUGUCUUCUUUGGAUAAAUAUCUAUUGAAAUUUUCUGACCAUUUUUGAUUGGGUUGUUUUUAUGAUAUAAAGCUGCAUGAGAUGUUUGUAUAUUUUGGACAUUUAAUCCCAUUUGCAAAGAUUUUCUCUCAUUCUGUGGGUUAUCUUUUCAUUCUUUUUAUGGUUUCCUUUGCUGUGCAGAAGCUCUUUAGUUUAAUUAGGUCCCAUUUGUUUAUUUUUGUAUUUAUUAAAUUUCCAUGAAUUCUUGAAAAAUAUUUCUCCUAUAUUCAUGGGGUACAAAGUUAAAUAUAUACAUAUAUAUGUAACAAUGAAAAAUUACGCUGUUCAGAUACCACAUAAACUUAAUGUUUUACCAACUCAACAUAUCAAAUACUAAUACAAUUGUUAUUGUAGUUAUUUACACAUUUUGAUAAAUGUUAUACAAUCACUUACAUCUAUUAUAGUUAUACUUUAUAAAAAUAUAAUAAUCCAUCUUUACCCCCUUUAGUGCUCUUUCUUGCCUUGAAUUCUACUCUGCUCAGCAUAUCUGCUUUUUUUUUGGUCCUUUUUUUUUUUACUUUGAUAUAGUUUCAUUUUACCUUAAAAUAUCCUUAUUUUGUUUGACAGUGUGACUCCUUGUAAAGAGCACAUAACCGCUUUUGUAUUUUGACUCAAUGUGAGAAUAUUUAUGUAUUUUAAUUGAAAAAUUUAACCCAUUGAUUUUUUUUUUGGUAAGAUUUUAUUUUUUCUAUUGUAGUUGAUUUACAGUGUUCUGUCAGUUUCUGCUGUACAGCAGAGUGACUCAGCCAUAUGUAUAUGUAUAUGAAGAAUUAUAUAUAUUCUUCUUCUCAAAUGAUGGAGGAUAAUGUGAGAAAAACCUAUUGAUUUUUACUUUCAUAGCUGACAGCUUUGUCCAUAUUAACAUGUCAUUUUUGUUUUCAUGCUUCUUUGAUAUUUCUAUUGAUUUUUAAUUUUGUCAUAUGAAAACUAAAAUUUACCUACUUAUUCUAGUGAUUUUGAUAGUAUCCAUUUUUAUCAUUUUAUUAAUAGAUCUAAGCAAAAUUAUCUUUGCUUCCUGUUUCAAAAUCACUUUAAAAAUCUUUUUAUUAAUUUAAUUCUAAAUUUUGUUAUCUUCAGUAUUUACAACUAAUCCUUCCAUGACAUUAUUAAGUUUUAUAUUUGCUUUGUUUCUCAUUUAGCUGAAGUAUGUUUUAAAGUUUAUUUAAGGAGAACAGAUGAAUGGCAUAUAUUCUAAGUUUUUU